AAAGUCAGGUGCUGUAAGUCGCUUUGGAUAAAGGCAUCUGCUAAAUGCCUUAAA
rfam:Astyanax mexicanus chromosome 18, whole genome shotgun sequence.